rnacentral:rRNA from 1 species
AGCUCCAAUAGCGUAUAUUUAAGUUGUUGCAGUUAAAAAGCUCGUAGUCGGACUUUGGCUGAGAACGGUCGGUCCGCCGUUAGGUGUGCACUGACUGGUCUCAGCUUCCUGGUGAGGAGGUGUGCUUCACGGCCACUUAGUCACCGUGGUUACUUUGAAAAAAUUAGAGUGUUCAAAGCGGGCUUACGCUUGAAUAUAUUAGCAUGGAAUAACACCAUAGGACUCCUGUCCUAUUUCGUUGGUCUCGGGACGGGAGUAAUGAUUAAGAGGAACAGUUGGGGGCAUUCGUAUUUCAUUGUCAGAGGUGAAAUUCUUGGAUUUAUGAAAGACGAACUUCUGCGAAAGCAUUUGCCAAGGAUGUUUUCAUUG